UGGGGAAUAUUGCACAAUGGGCGCAAGCCUGAUGCAGCCAUGCCGCGUGUGUGAAGAAGGCCUUCGGGUUGUAAAGCACUUUCAGCGAGGAGGAAGGUGGUGGACUUAAUACGUUCAUCAAUUGACGUUACUCGCAGAAGAAGCACCGGCUAACUCCGUGCCAGCAGCCGCGGUAAUACGGAGGGUGCAAGCGUUAAUCGGAAUUACUGGGCGUAAAGCGCACGCAGGCGGUUUGUUAAGUCAGAUGUGAAAUCCCCGGGCUCAACCUGGGAACUGCAUUUGAAACUGGCAAGCUAGAGUCUCGUAGAGGGGGGUAGAAUUCCAGGUGUAGCGGUGAAAUGCGUAGAGAUCUGGAGGAAUACCGGUGGCGAAGGCGGCCCCCUGGACGAAGACUGACGCUC
rnacentral:rRNA from 1 species